rnacentral:rRNA from 1 species
GACGAACGCUGGCGGCGUGCUUAACACAUGCAAGUCGAACGGAAAGGCCCUGCUUUCAGUGUACUCGAGUUGCGAACGGGUGGGUAACACGUGGGUGAUCUGCCCUGCACUUCGGGAUAAGCCUGUGAAACUGGGUCGAGUACCGGCUAGGAGCCAUAUUUAGUGUGAUGGUUGGAAAGUUUUUGCGGUGUAGGAUGAGCUCGCGGCCUAUCAGCUUGUUGGUUUGGUAAUGGCCUACCAAGGCGGCUACGGGUAGCCGGCCUGAGAGGGUGGACGGCCACAUUGGGACUGAGAUACGGCACAGACUCGUACGGGAGGCAGAAGUGGGGAAUAUUGCAGAAUGGGCGCAAGCCUGAUGCAGCGACGCUGCGUGGGGGAUGACGGUGUUAGGGUUGUAAACUAAUUUCGUUAGGGACGAAGCUUUUUGUGACGGUACCUAGAUAAGAAGCCACGGCUAACUACGUG